rnacentral:lncRNA from 1 species
GGCAGACGAGAGCCCUUUGUUGUAAAUGUCUCAGACUUUGUUCCAUGCUUACUUGAACCAUCUCAGCCAGCGAUAGGAAGAUCACUUGUGUUUGUUCUACCCAUUAUAAUCGUGCAAAAGGAUUUGGAUCCACCACUAACAAAUCAAUGGAGUUCUUAAGAGAAGAAGAUCCCCAAAAUCAGUUUGCCUAAUUACCCCAAUUUCAAUUUUAAUUUUAAUCCUAAAUUUAUUACAUUUCCAC